rnacentral:snRNA from 1 species
AUCGCUUCUCGGCCUUUUGGCUAAGAUCAAGUGUAGUAUCUGUUCUUAUCAGUUUAAAUAUGUUCACUACAGUAUUAUGUAAUCCUAUAUAAUAAAAGCAUAAUAUGCAAAUCAAC